rnacentral:rRNA from 1 species
UACGUAGGGGGCUAGCGUUGUCCGGAAUCAUUGGGCGUAAAGAGCGCGUAGGCGGCCAGAUAAGUCCGGUGUGAAAGUCAAAGGCUCAACUUUUGAAUGCCGCUGGAAACUGUCUGGCUAGAGUCCGGAAGGGGCGAGUGGAAUUCCUGGUGUAGCGGUGAAAUGCGCAGAUAUCAGGAGGAACACCAAUGGCGAAGGCAGCACUCUGGGACGUGACUGACGCUGAGACGCGAAAGCGUGGGGAGCAAACAGG